AACGAACGCUGGCGGCGUGGUUGAUACAUGCAAGUCGAACGGGAACGAUCCUUUCGGGGAUCUAGUAUAGUGGCGGACGGGUGAGUAACACGUGAUCAACAUAUCCACAGUACCGGGAUAGCCAACCGAAAGGGUGGGUAAUACCGGAUAAGACCACGGCACCGCAUGGUGCUGCGGCAAAAGGUUUACUCCGACUGUGGAGUGGAUCGCGGCCUAUCAGCUUGUUGGUGAGGUAACGGCUCACCAAGGCGACGACGGGUAGCCGGCCUGAGAGGGUGGACGGCCACACUGGGACUGAGACACGGCCCAGACUCCUACGGGUGGCAG
rnacentral:rRNA from 1 species